rnacentral:lncRNA from 1 species
AGAGCAGCUGGAGGAAGAGUGGAAACAACAAGAACGGACUGUUUAUCCGAACCGUGUGCACAGACCCACAAACACACUUGCCUCAUUGAAAAAUAUUUCUUUACAUGUGAUAUUAAUGGGCGGUGUCAUUUGACCCAAACCACACAGUAUCAUCGCCAGGUCAGUCUGAAAAGUUGGAGGUCAGCAUUUACAUUCCUGUAUUACAAAUCAUAAAGUUGUGUAAGUUUGGGUUACGACAACAGUCUAUGUGUGAAGCCCACGCGAGUCAGUGGCGGUUUGAAGGCAGUGGCUGUGUGCCUGAGCACGUACUUCCACUUCAAGUGACAAGAAGGGCGAUUGAUGAAGCUAUUUUUGCGAUGGAAAUGUAAUUUUGUAAUGAGAAAACACGAAAUUCUUUGAAGCCCACAUUGCCAAUCAAAUAAUAAAUAAUCAAAUAAAAAAUUACAAACUGAUUUUGAAGUUUGUUUUUAAAAGGCUUUAAACAGUUUGGUGACUCGUGGCACAUAACCAAACAGGCUAUAACCAAGUCAACUUAACAUGGGGCACAUUGUUUACAUUUGAAAGGGCUUUUCCAUUGUAUUUUUUUUAAUACAUUUUCUUUAUGUCAUUUAUGUGAUUUUAUAUCUUUUGUUAUUAUUCUUUAAGAUUUCAUACAAUUACUUUUUUAUGUUUUAUCAACCUGGAAGGUCAUCUAAAAAGGCGCUUCAUUUAAAAUUUACAAUUUGUAAGAGCAUAUUGACAACACAAUGUUUACAUGUUACUUGAUUAUACAGAGUGCUCUGUCUCUGUUAACAUUUCAAUGCUCUGAAAUGGCACCUGAGUGUUACUUUGUUUACAUCUUUUCUCUUAAAUGGUCUCUUAUCUAUCUAUCUAUCUAUCUAUCUAUCUAUCUAUCUAUCUAUCUAUCAUCCUUAUCAACUUAUUUCUAGUCAUUCAAAAUUAUUGUAAAACAUAAAUCAAAAGGGGCUAAAAAAUGAAAAUAAGUCAUAUUUUUGUUAAGACUAAAUCUCUGAUUUGAGACAGCAGGAAGUCUCAUCUAAGCCUUGCACACGAAUCUUUCUUUAAUUUAGUAAAUCCGUGUGCAAACUGAGUGCGUGAUUCGUGGAUCUGUGUUUAUCACACUCUGCCUUUAUAGAUGCCUUCUUUACAUUUGGAAACCAGAUUUCGACCCUUUCACUGCUGUUUCUCUCUCUCUCCACAUCACAUGUUUAUAAGGGAGCUUGGGUGAAUAGGACACGCAGGUUGCGUUCAGGGCUCCCCCAAAUUCGCGGAAAUUCAAAAGAGUCUUCGCUUGAACUCCAAUAAACUGUGUUCCGAUCUGUUAACCAUAACAAUGCUUUUCUCCGUAUAAACAUACUCAAUAUUCAUGAAUUCAAUGUCCCCAGGGCGAAUAAUGGGCUCUUAUGUAAUCACACACAACAUGCCAGCUUCUCCACGCCUGGGAAUCUGUCUGUUGUCGCUACUUUAACAAUCCGUGUGCACAAAUCCCUUUGUCAUCAACCACUACGUUUCUGCGUGCAGCGUGAUUUUGCACCCGGUACUGUUGAUGUGGUGCGCUAUAAAAGAUCCGCCCCCGGUCUGUCAGCAACAACACUCGCAGCUCUGAACUUAAUCGAACGACAACUUCACUCGAAGAAACUCCAACAUCCACUGGAAAGAUGGACCCUUGCGAAUGCGCCAAGAGUAAGUGAUCUGUUUGAAUCUCUGUAUCUGAGAAUUUUGACCUUGUAUUUUGUUAAACGGUGUAUUUUUUUUAGCAGAGACUGAUCUGAUUUUUAUAUUUUAGCUGGAACCUGCAACUGCGGAGGAUCCUGCACCUGCACAAACUGUUCCUGCACUAAAUGCAAGAAAAGUAAGUCUGCUAACAACCUUUUUAGAGAUGACAAGCUUGAGGAAGGCGUUCACUGCUCACUGAAGCAAAAAUAAGCUUAAGACAAAGUGUAUCGAGGAUUCAGAACCUUUUUUUUGCUUUACCUCUCUGCUUAAAAUUCUCAAUUAUUUAUAUUAAGUUACCCCUAGUGAUGUCCUUUUUGAAAUUCUGUACCAAUCUUGAAUUCAUAGUGCUUAUUUAAACUAUUUUUUGUAAUUAUAGUCCAUGGCUCGUGGCUGCACAGGUGACUCUAAUUGGCCUAAUUGUCUGCAACGUGUUCAAGGAGGAGGAGAAGUCUUUAUCUCCUCCGCAGUUAACUAUUUCAUACAUUAACUAUGCAGCUUUGUCUCUGAAAUCCACCACCUCGACUGUUAGUAGGAUAUGAACCUGUCUUCAGCACUGAUGCUUGACUGUCCUCCAGUCACUAAUGGACUGUUUCUCCUCUUGCAGGCUGCUGCCCAUGCUGCCCAUCCGGCUGCAGCAAGUGCGCCUCUGGCUGCGUGUGCAAAGGGAAGACAUGUGACACCAGCUGCUGUCAGUGAGGAGUGUGAUCAUCGGUCUGUCUCUGCCCUUGAGAUGGCGCCUGUUUUUUUUGAUCAAGUCUAAAUUAAUGUAGGGACCAAUGUCUACUAAUAACAAUGCACAAGAUUUUGUACUUGAUAUUGAAAUAAACGCGUUUCCUUGAUGUGACUUUGACGUGUCCUGGUUUGACUUCAAAGCAUAACUGUA